rnacentral:piRNA from 1 species
UAAAAUAUGCUUUGUUAGACAUUUAUAUUG